rnacentral:rRNA from 1 species
UGUCAGUAGUAGACUAUGCAUAUCGUAGCUGAGGAGG